AAACUGAAGAGUUUGAUCCUGGCUCAGAUUGAACGCUGGCGGCAUGCCUUACACAUGCAAGUCGAACGGCAGCACGGGUGCUUGCACCUGGUGGCGAGUGGCGAACGGGUGAGUAAUACAUCGGAACAUGUCCUGUAGUGGGGGAUAGCCCGGCGAAAGCCGGAUUAAUACCGCAUACGAUCUAUGGAUGAAAGCGGGGGACCUUCGGGCCUCGCGCUAUAGGGUUGGCCGAUGGCUGAUUAGCUAGUUGGUGGGGUAAAGGCCUACCAAGGCGACGAUCAGUAGCUGGUCUGAGAGGACGACCAGCCACACUGGGACUGAGACACGGCCCAGACUCCUACGGGAGGCAGCAGUGGGGAAUUUUGGACAAUGGGCGAAAGCCUGAUCCAGCAAUGCCGCGUGUGUGAAGAAGGCCUUCGGGUUGUAAAGCACUUUUGUCCGGAAAGAA
rnacentral:rRNA from 1 species